AGCGAGCGGCGGAUGGGUGAGUAACACGUGGGGAACCUGCCCCUAAGUCUGGGAUACCAUUUGGAAACAGGUGCUAAUACCGGAUAAUAAAGCAGAUCGCAUGAUCAGCUUUUGAAAGGCGGCGUAAGCUGUCGCUAAGGGAUGGCCCCGCGGUGCAUUAGCUAGUUGGUAAGGUAACGGCUUACCAAGGCGACGAUGCAUAGCCGAGUUGAGAGACUGAUCGGCCACAUUGGGACUGAGACACGGCCCAAACUCCUACGGGAGGCAGCAGUAGGGAAUCUUCCACAAUGGACGCAAGUCUGAUGGAGCAACGCCGCGUGAGUGAAGAAGGUUUUCGGAUCGUAAAGCUCUGUUGUUGGUGAAGAAGGAUAGAGGUAGUAACUGGCCUUUAUUUGACGGUAAUCAACCAGAAAGUCACGGCUAACUACGUGCCAGCAGCCGCGGUAAUACGUAGGUGGCAAGCGUUGUCCGGAUUUAUUGGGCGUAAAGCGAGCGCAGGCGGAAAAAUAAGUCUAAUGUGAAAGCCCUCGGCUUAACCGAGGAACUGCAUCGGAAACUGUUUUUCUUGAGUGCAGAAGAGGAGAGUGGAACUCCAUGUGUAGCGGUGGGAAUGCGUAGAUAUAUGGAAGAACACCAGUGGCGAAGGCGGCUCUCUGGUCUGCAACUGACGCUGAGGCUCGAAAACCAUGGGUAGCGAACAGGAUUAGAUACCCCUGGGUAGUCCAUGCCGUAAA
rnacentral:rRNA from 1 species